GACAGAGGUGGCAAGCGUUGUUCGGAAUAACUGGGCUUAAAGGGCGCGUAGGCGGUGGAGUAAGUCUGGGGUGGAAUCCGGAAGCUUAACUUUCGGACUGCCCUGGAAACUAUUUCACUUGAGUCGGACAGGGGAAGGCGGAAUUCCAGGUGUAGCGGUGAAAUGCGUAGAUAUCUGGAGGAAGGCCUGUGGCGAAGGCGGCCUUCUGGGUCUUGACUGACGCUGAGGCGCGAAAGCGUGGGGAG
rnacentral:rRNA from 1 species